GUAUAUAUACGUAAAAUGGAGGGUAACCAAGAAUAGAAUAACAUGUGUAACCCGUCUCUUUAAAAAGACAGUCUCUUUAAACUGUGAUCUGGGGGCUGAGGAGGAGUUUUCCAAGGACAGAAUGGAGAUAGGCCCAGAGUGAAGGCCCAGGGGGGUGAAAGGCAGUCCACUGAGGUGGGACAUCAGGCAAAAACCCUCCUAAGAAGUUUGGUUUUUUAUUCUCAGUGCAAUGGGGAGCAAUUGGAGAUUUAGGCAAGUGACCCCAAUUUUUGUGUUAAAUGAUCACUGGUGGUUGUAUGGAGUCACCAGAGUAGAGAGGAGGCUAUAAUUAAGAAGCUUCAGCCAUCUUUCAGAAGAGAAGUACUGGUAACAAGAUUGAAUGUGAGAUCUACAGAAAUGGGAGAUAAGCACAUUCUGGAUUAAUUUUGGAGAUGGAACUGAUAGAACUGAGCACAUGGUAUUCAGUCAAUGUUUAGUGUAUGAAAUAAUGCAAAAUUUUGAAAAUGAUGUGUGAUUUUUCUCAUGGAAUCAUUUUCUUCAUCCUGUAUCCAGUUAGUAACCAAAACCUGGAUGAUCUUUUGUGUACCCUUUUCUUUAUAGGUCCAGGCACUUGUGUUUUAUUCCUGUUUUUAAGUAAGUCUGUCUACAGUCCAUCUUCCACAAUUCUCCUCACAGAACAGCUGCCAGAGGAUCUUCCUAAAAUAGUCUGUUUUUUACCCAAGUACCUUGUUCAGUAAUCCUCAACGGCACCCUUUCGUCUAUAGGAUAAAGUCCCAGUAACUGACUUUGCCAUCUUAGGCUCUUCGCUACAAGGUCAUAACCUUCCUUCCUGUUCCAUUUUCACCAUUCUAUUUAGUCCAGAAUGGUUUACCUGCCAAAUUCCAGUGCUUUGGACAUUUCUGCUCUUCUGCUUUUUUUUUUGACAUACCCAUUUUUUUAAGAACAGUUUUAGAGUCCCAGAAAAAUCGAGCCAAAAUUAUCAAGUUUCCAUGCAUGGUCCCCAAACCCCUGCUAUUUAUAGCAGCACAGUUUGUUAACAUUGAUGAACUUACAGUGAAACACAAUUAUCUAAAGCCCAUAGUUUACAUUAGGGUUCAUCCUAUGGGUUUUGACAAUGUACAAUAAUAUGUAUGAACCGUUAUAAUAUCAUUCGGAAUAGUUUUAUGGCUCUGCCUUUUCACUCUUCUUCCCCCUUACCCUUAGCAACUACCAAUCUUUUUACUUUCACCAUAGUUUUUGCCUUUUUCAUGAAUGUCACAUAGUUGGAAUCACACAACAUCUAACCUUUUCAGAUUGACUUCCUUAACUUAGUAAUAUGUAUUUAUGUUUCUACCAUGUCUUUUCAUGACUUGAUAGUUCAUUUAUUUUUAGUGCUGAAUAACAUUCCAUAAUUUGGAUGUACCACAGUUUAUUCAUUAACCAACUGAAGUAUAUUUUGGCUGCUUCUGGGUUUUAGGAAUUGUGAAUAAAGCUAUAAAUAUCUGUGUGCAGAUUUUGGAAACAUGUGGACCCUUUCCAACUCAUUUGGGUAAACUUUCAACCCUACUUGUCAUAUUCUCCAUGUUGCUACUGAACCCAUGAUCCAACAUUUGUGUUUGCUGAGUGUAUGAAGAUUUGUUAAUAGUGCAGAUCGUACCAAGGUA
rnacentral:lncRNA from 1 species